rnacentral:rRNA from 1 species
CAGCAGCCGCCGCGGUAAAACGUAGGUGGCAAGCGUUGUCCGGAAUUAUUGGGCGUAAAGGGCUCGCAGGCGGUUUCUUAAGUCUGAUGUGAAAGCCCCCGGCUCAACCGGGGAGGGUCAUUGGAAACUGGGAAACUUGAGUGCAGAAGAGGAGAGUGGAAUUCCACGUGUAGCGGUGAAAUGCGUAGAGAUGUGGAGGAACACCAGUGGCGAAGGCGACUCUCUGGUCUGUAACUGACGCUGAGGAGCGAAAGCGUGGGGAGCGAACAGGAUUAGAUACCCCAGUAGUCCCUGUCUCUUAUAC